GGAGCGGCAACCAAGGCAGGGCAAAAGCAACAAACUAACUUUGAACAUACCAUCCAUCAUCCCCAAACCCCCCCGCACCAACUAGCAUUUCCAUUCCCACCCUUCAAACCCCAUUUUGAUUCCACAAUUUUCUCCUCCCACCAGCUCUCCAAAUUCUCCUUCCCCUUCACAACUCUUCGUACAUGCCUUUCUACAGUUGUUGAAGGGAAAAAAAAGAAGAAUAUGGCGAUAAUCGGAGAUGCACUCCGGCAAGCGUUUAUGCCAAAGCACGAAUACGAGUGUCUUCGUGAGGAAGACAAGGCAUUUAAUCGUCUUCAGAGGCCCUUUGUGAUCUGCAGUUUAGCCCUAAUAUCACUUGCUAUUAUUGUAUGUACUGUUAUCAGCUUGAAAAUAGUGUUUCCUGUCGAUCCUGCUCGCCGGCCUUUCUGUGGUGACUAUCGUAUUCAGCCGCUUUCGAUUAAUUUUACUAAUAUAGCUGCUAGUGGUUCUGAAGGUGGUAGUGGUGGUGGUACUGCUGGUGAUUCGGAUAGUUUUCCUGGUGCGUUUUACCUAACUAAUCAGGAGAUUGUGGAUUACUAUUGGAUGGUUGUGUUCAUUCCUUC
rnacentral:misc_RNA from 1 species